rnacentral:rRNA from 1 species
GGUGAGUAAUGCAUCGAACGUGUCUGCCGUGGGGAUACUGCCGAAAGGUCAGCUAAUACGCAUGCGACCACGGGUGAAAGGAGGGAUCGAAAGACUUCCGCGGCAGGGGCGGCCGAUGCUGAUUAGCUGGUGGCGGGGUAAGAGCCCACCAAGGCGACGAUCAGUAGCUGGUCUGAGAGGACGACCAGCCACAUUGGGACUGAGACACGGCCCAGACUCCUACGGGAGGCAGCAGUGGGGAAUUUUGGACAAUGGGGGCAACCCUGAUCCAGCCAUGCCGCGUGCGGGAAGAAGGCCUUCGGGUUGUAAACCGCUUUUGCCGGGGACGAAAAGCGAUGUGCCAAUACCACGUCGCGCUGACGGUACCCGGAGAAUAAGCACCGGCUAACUACGUGCCAGCAGCCGCGGUAAUACGUAGGGUGCGAGCGUUAAUCGGAAUUACUGGGCGUAAAGCGUGCGCAGGCGGCUGUGCAAGACAGAUGUGAAAUCCCCGGGCCCAACCUGGGAACUGCAUUUGUGACUGCACGGCUCGAGUGUGUCAGAGGAGGGCGGAAUUCCGCGUGUAGCAGUGAAAUGCGUAGAUAUGCGGAAGAACACCGAUGGCGAAGGCAGCCCUCUGGGGCACAACUGACGCUCAUGCACGAAAGCACGGGGAGCAAACAGGAUUAGAUACCCUGGUAGUCCGUGCCCUAAACGAUGUCAACUGAUUGUCUGGGAAGCGAUUCCUGGGUAACCAAGCCAACGCGUGAAGUUGACCGCCUGGGAAGUACGGUCGCAAGAUUAAAACUCAAAGGAAUUGACGGGGACCCGCACAAGCGGUGGAUGAUGUGGAUUAAUUCGACGCAACGCGAAAAACCUUACCUAGCCUUGACAUGUCGGGAAUCCUGGUGAAAGCCGGGAGU